rnacentral:rRNA from 1 species
CCCUUAGAUGUUCUGGGCCGCACGCGUGCUACACUGAGUGGAUCAGCGGGUCAGGUUGCGCGAAAGUGUUUCCUAAUCUUGAAAUCCGCUCGUGAUGGGGAUUGACGGUUGCAAUUUUCCGUCAUGAACGAGGAAUACCUUGUAAGCGCGGGUCAUCAUCCCGCGCUGAAUACGUCCCUGCCCUUUGUACACACCGCCCGUCGCUCCUACCGAUUGAGUGGUCCGGUGAGGCUUUGGGAUCUGAGCAAAAAGGGCGUUUCGCUCGUUUGGCUCGGAAAACUCAGUCGAACCUUAUCAUUUAGAGGAAGGAGAAGUCGUAACA